rnacentral:rRNA from 1 species
UACGUAGGGUGCAAGCGUUGUCCGGAAUUAUUGGGCGUAAAGAGCUCGUAGGCGGUUUGUCGCGUCGGCUGUGAAAACUCGGGGCUCAACCCCGAGCCUGCAGUCGAUACGGGCAGACUAGAGUGCUGUAGGGGAGACUGGAAUUCCUGGUGUAGCGGUGAAAUGCGCAGAUAUCAGGAAGAACACCAACGGCGAAAGCACUCUGCUGGGCCGACACUGACACUGAGAGACGAAAGCUAGGGGAGCAAAUGGG